rnacentral:lncRNA from 1 species
CCGGCCUGUGACCAAGUCACUGAUAUCCUCACGAAACAAUUGUCUGUUUCCACUUUUGCUCGAUUUUGAACUUUACUUCUGGUCUUACCUAUUGAAAAGAUGGAUGAAUGUUAGAAUAUAGAGUCUAUUAGUUUGUUACUAAUCUAUUACUCAGUCUAAUAUGUUGUUAGUAUUAUGGUUAACAGCAGUUGUACAAGUAUAAAAAUCCUAUCAGUAUACUC